GAGAACCCUAAGCCUUCAAAGCCUCCAAGAUCCCCCCUCCAAACUCUUCUCCUUCUUUUCCUCCUUCUCUUCUUCUUCUUUCUCCUCUUUUCUUCUUCUCCUUCUUCUAUCGGGUAGAGAGAGAGUUGUUAGAGAGAGAGAGAGAGAGAGAGAGGCUGAGAGUAGGAGGGAGAGAGGCUGAGAGAGAGGGUCAUAAGACCUCUAUUGUAACAAAA
rnacentral:lncRNA from 1 species